GCUGACUUAGCUCAAUGGUAGAGCACUCGCCUUGUAAGCGAAAGGUUGUAAGUUCAAAUCUUAUAGUCAGCA
rfam:Lingula anatina scaffold136, whole genome shotgun sequence.